UACGUAGGGGGCGAGCGUUGUCCGGAUUUAUUGGGGCGUAAAGAGCGUGUAGGCGGCCAGGUAGGUCUGCUGUGAAAACUCGAGGCUCAACCUCGAGACGUCGGCGGAAACCAUCUGGCUAGAGUCCGGAAGAGGAGAGUGGAAUUCCUGGUCGUAGCGGUGAAAUGCGCAGAUAUCAGGAAGAACACCGUGGCGAAGGCGGCUCUCUGGGACGGUACUGACGCUGAGACGCGAAAGCGUGGGGAGCGAACAGG
rnacentral:rRNA from 1 species